rnacentral:tRNA from 7 species
UCUUGCCUAGCUCAGUUGGUAGAGCACAAGGCUCUUUACCUUAUGGUUCUGGGUUUCAAGCCCCAUAGUUUGCA